rnacentral:rRNA from 1 species
GUCUUUUUGUAAUUAAUAUAAAGUUUAACCUGCCCAUUGAAAAUAUUUAAAAGGCUGCGGUAUUUUAACCGUACAAAGGUAGCAUAAUCAUUAGUUUUUUAAUUGAAAACUUGUAUGAAUGGUUGAAUGAGAAAUUAACUUUUUUAAAAAAAAUAUUGAAUUUUACUUUUUAAUUAAAAGGUUAAAAUUAUUUUAAAAGACGAGAAGACCCUAUAGAGUUUUAUAAUUAUUAAUUUAUAUUUAUAAUAUAUUAUAAUUUAUUAUUUAAUAAUUUAUAUUUGUUUAUAUUAAAAAGUUUAUUAAGAGUUUUAUUUUGAAAAUUAUUUUAUUGGGGUGAUAAUAAAAUUUAAAAAACUUUUAUUUAUUAUUUACAUUAAUAUAUGAUUGAUUGAUCCAGUUUUAUUGAUUAAAAAAUUAAAUUACCUUAGGGAUAACAGCGUAAUUUUUUUUUAAGUUCAUAUUAAUAAAAAAUUUUGCGACCUCGAUGUUGGAUUAAGAUUUAAUUUUAGGUGCAGCAUUUUAAAAUUUAAGUCUGUUCGACUUUUAAAUUCUU